AUUGAACGCUGGCGGCAGGCCUAACACAUGCAAGUCGAACGAGUGGCGGACGGGUGAGUAAUGUCUGGGAAACUGCCCGAUGGAGGGGGAUAACUACUGGAAACGGUAGCUAAUACCGCAUACCAUCGGAUGUGCCCAGAUGGGUUGAGCUAGUAGGGGGGGUAACGGCUCACUUAGGCGACGAGCCCUAGCUGGGCUGAGAGGAUGACCAGCCACACUGGAACUGAGACACGGUCCAGACUCCUACGGUAGGCAUCAGUGGGGAAUAUUGCACAAGGGGCGCAAGCCUGAUGCAGCCAUGCCGCGUGUAUGAAGAAGGCCUUCGGGUUGGAAAGUAAUUUCAGCGAGGAGGCUUUACUCGCAGAAGAAGCACCGGCUAACUACGUGCCAGCAGCCGCGGUAAUAC
rnacentral:rRNA from 1 species